ACGGCUCAGUAACACGUGGCUAAUCUGCCCUUGGGACGAGAACAACCCCGGGAAACUGGGGCUAACUCUCGAUAGGCGAAGAACUCUGGAAUGAGUCUUUACCUAAAUAGUGCAACGUUAUGCUCGUUGCAUCGCCCAAGGAUGAGGCCGCGACCGAUCAGGUUGUUGGCGAGGUAAUGGCUCACCAAGCCUUUUACCGGUGCGGGCCGUGGGAGCGGGAGCCCGGAGAUGGGCACUGAGACAAGGGCCCAGGCCCUACGGGGCGCAGCAGUCGCGAAAACUUUGCAAUAAGCGAAAGCUUGACAGGGCUAUCCCGAGUGCCAUCCGCUGAGGAAGGCUUUUACCCAGUCUAGAACGCUGGGGGAAUAAGGAGAGGGCAAGUCUGGUGUCAGCCGCCGCGGUAAUACCAGCUCUCCGAGUGGUGUGGAUGUUUAUUGGGCCUAAAGCAUCCGUAGCUGGCUAAGUUAGUCCCUUGUUAAAUCCACCGAAUUAAUCGUUGGAUUGCGGGGGAUACUGCUUGGCUAGGGGACGAGAGAGGCAGGCGGUAUUUUCGGGGUAGGGGUGAAAUCCUAUAAUCCCGGGAAGACCACCAGUGGCGAAGGCUGUCUGCUAGAACGCGCCCGACGGUGAGGGAUGAAAGCUGGGGGAGCGAACCGGAUUAGAUACCCGGGUAGUCCCAGCUGUAAACGAUGCAGGCUAGGUGUUUGGACGGCCACGUGCCGUUCUAGUGCCGCAGGGAAGCUGUUAAGCCUGCCGCCUGGGGAGUACGAUCGCAAGAUUGAAACUUAAAGGAAUUGGCGGGGGAG
rnacentral:rRNA from 1 species